rnacentral:rRNA from 1 species
AGUAAUAUAGUAGUGUAACAGUGCCCCUAGGCGCUGGGAUAGCCACUGGAAACGGUGAUUAAUACCGGAUAUACCUUCUACUUAUUAAGAGUAGUUGGGAAAGGUUUUUCGCUAAGGGAUCGGACUAUAUUGUAUCAGCUUGUUGGUGAGGUAAGAGCUCACCAAGGCAAUGACACAUAGCGGGUUUGAGAGGAUGAUCCGCCACACUGGUACUGAGACACGGACCAGACUCCUACGGGAGGCAGCAGUGAGGAAUAUUGCACAAUGGAGGAAACUCUGAUGCAGCAACGCCGCGUGGAGGAUGACGCAUUUCGGUGUGUAAACUCCUUUUAUAAGAGAAGAAAAUGACGGUAUCUUAUGAAUAAGUCCCGGCUAACUCCGUGCCAGCAGCCGCGGUAAUACGGAGGGGACAAGCGUUAUUCGGAAUCACUGGGCGUAAAGGACGCGUAGGCGGGUUAUUAAGUCGGGUGUGAAAUCCAAUGGCUCAACCAUUGAACUGCAUUCGAAACUGAUAACCUAGAGUAUGGAAGGGGCAGGUGGAAUUAGUGGUGUAGGGGUAAAAUCCGUAGAUAUCACUAGGAAUACCGAAAGCGAAGGCGACCUGCUGGGACAUUACUGACGCUGAGGCGUGAAAGCGUGGGGAGCAAACAGGAUUAGAUACCCUGGUAGUCCACGCCCUAAACGAUGAAUGCUAGUCGUC